rnacentral:pre_miRNA from 12 species
CAAAUAAUGAAUUUGGCAAGAUGUCGGAAUAGCUGAGAGCACAGAGGAUCGAGCGAGUCAUCGACCGAGACGAAUUCCAAAGCGGCUAUGCCUCAUCUAGUCAAUUACAUUA